AGCUCAGUUGGUAACUCAGUCAGUGAGAGUGUGGUGCUGAUAACACCAAGGUUGUGGGUUUGAUCCCCAUACAGGCCA